UAGUGGCGAACGGGUGAGUAACACGUGGGCAAUCUGCCCUGCACUCUGGGACAAGCCCUGGAAACGGGGUCUAAUACCGGAUACGACCACUGGGGGCAUCCCUGGUGGUGGAAAGCUCCGGCGGUGCAGGAUGAGCCCGCGGCCUAUCAGCUUGUUGGUGGGGUGAUGGCCUACCAAGGCGACGACGGGUAGCCGGCCUGAGAGGGCGACCGGCCACACUGGGACUGAGACACGGCCCAGACUCCUACGGGAGGCAGCAGUGGGGAAUAUUGCACAAUGGGCGAAAGCCUGAUGCAGCGACGCCGCGUGAGGGAUGACGGCCUUCGGGUUGUAAACCUCUUUCAGCAGGGAAGAAGCGUGAGUGACGGUACCUGCAGAAGAAGCGCCGGCUAACUACGUGCCAGCAGCCGCGGUAAUACGUAGGGCGCGAGCGUUGUCCGGAAUUAUUGGGCGUAAAGAGCUCGUAGGCGGCUUGUCGCGUCGGUUGUGAAAGCCCGGGGCUUAACCCCGGGUCUGCAGUCGAUACGGGCAGGCUAGAGUUCGGUAGGGGAGAUCGGAAUUCCUGGUGUAGCGGUGAAAUGCGCAGAUAUCAGGAGGAACACCGGUGGCGAAGGCGGAUCUCUGGGCCGAUACUGACGCUGAGGAGCGAAAGCGUGGGGAGCGAACAGGAUUAGAUACCCUGGUAGUCCACGCCGUAAACGUUGGGCACUAGGUGUGGGCGACAUUCCACGUCGUCCGUGCCGCAGCUAACGCAUUAAGU
rnacentral:rRNA from 1 species